UCCAGUUUGAAGUGGGCCUUUGAGCUCUCGUACGUGCUCGGGCCCCGCUCCAAUCCACUCAACCCCUGUGCACUUUCGGAGUUGCGGGUCACUGUUAACGCAGUCUCGUGGCUUCGUCUCUUAUCACAAACCAUUUAUUAUAUGUCUUGUAGAACGUGGAUGCCUGUAAAGGCGGAAACUCAAUACAACUUUCAACAACGGAUCUCUUGGCUCUCGCAUCGAUGAAGAACGCAGCGAAAUGCGAUAAGUAAUGUGAAUUGCAGAAUUCAGUGAAUCAUCGAAUCUUUGAACGCACCUUGCGCUCCUGGACUUGUUUCAGGAGCAUGCCUGUUUGAGUGUCAUGAAAUCAUCAACCACGUUGCUUUAGUGCGCCGUGGCUUGGACUUGGGGAUUUGCGGGCGUUCUAGCGUCGGCUUCCCUUGAAUGCAUUAGUCGGGCGCCCUUUGCUCGAGAAGUGUGAUAAUUAUCAUUCACUGAUCGACGAGGGACCUUGUCUCGGCUUCUAACCGCAUGCUUGCAUGCAUCUUUGACACAUCUGACCUCAAAUCAGGUAGGACUACCCGCUGAACUUAAGCAUAUCAAUAAGCGGAGGAAAAGAAACUAACAAGGAUUCCCCUAGUAACUGCGAGUGAAGCGGGAUGAGCUCAAAUUUAAAAUCUGGCGGCAUUGGUCGUCCGAGUUGUAAUCUGGAGAAGCAUUUUCUGUGUCGGACCGUGCACAAGUUUCCUGGAACGGAAUGUCAUAGAGGGUGAGAGUCCCGUCCAUGGCACGGAUCACCGAUGCAUUGUGAUAUGCUCUCGAAGAGUCGAGUUGUUUGGGAAUGCAGCUCAAAAUGGGUGGUAAAUUCCAUCUAAAGCUAAAUAUUGGCGAGAGACCGAUAGCGAACAAGUACCGUGAGGGAAAGAUGAAAAGCACUUUGGAAAGAGAGUUAAACAGUACGUGAAAUUGUUGAAAGGGAAACGCUUGGAGUCAGUCGCGUUGGUCAGGAUUCAGUCGCUCUUACCGGAGUGGAUUACUUCCUGGUGAACGGGUCAACAUCGAUUUCGAACGGUGGAUAAAGGGGAGGGGAAUGUGGCACCUUCGGGUGUGUUAUAGCCCCUCUUUCGCAUACACCGGCCGGGAUCGAGGAUCGCAGCACGCCUUUAUGGCCGGGGGUUUACCUCACGUAACGUGCUUAGGAUGUUGGCAUAAUGGCUUUAAGCGACCCGUCUUGAAACACGGACCAAGGAGUCUAACAUGCUCGCGAGUGUUAGGGUGGAAAACCCUUGCGCGAAAUGAAAGUGAAAGUUGGGACCUCUGUCAUGGAGGGCACCGACGCCCGGCCCUGAGCUCUUGCGACGGUGCUGCGGUGGAGCGCGUAUGUUGGGACCCGAAAGAUGGUGAACUAUGCCUGAAUAGGGCGAAGCCAGAGGAAACUCUGGUGGAGGCUCGUAGCGAUUCUGACGUGCAAAUCGAUCGUCAAAUUUGGGUAUAGGGGCGAAAGACUAAUCGAACCAUCUAGUAGCUGGUUCCUGCCGAAGUUUCCCUCAGGAUAGCAGAAACUCGUAUCAGAUUUAUGUGGUAAAGCGAAUGAUUAGAGGCCUUGGGGUUGAAACAACCUUAACCUAUUCUCAAACUUUAAAUAUGUAAGAACGGGCCGUCUCUUAGUUGGACCGUCCGGCGAUUGAGAGUUUCUAGUGGGCCAUUUUUGGUAAGCAGAACUGGCGAUGCGGGAUGAACCGAACGCGAGGUUAAGGUGCCGGAAUGCACGCUCAUCAGACACCACAAAAGGUGUUAGUUCAUCUAGACAGCAGGACGGUGGCCAUGGAAGUCGGAAUCCGCUAAAGAGUGUGUAACAACUCAGCUGCCGAAUGAACUAGCCAUGAAAAUGGAUGGCGCUCAAGCGUGCUACCCAUACCUCGCCGUCAGCGUUGAAGUGACGCGUUGACGAGUAGGCAGGCGUGAGGUAGUGAAGAAGCCUGGCAGCGAUGCUGGG
rnacentral:rRNA from 1 species